rnacentral:lncRNA from 1 species
CAUUCAUUUACUGUUUCCUGAGGUAUUUCUGGCAAGUGUGCUGCAGACCCAUUAGUGAAGUAGGUCUCUAAGACUUUCAGGCCGCAGUCUAUACGCUUUUCAUCUGAAGAUACCUCAUAUUCUGCCACUGCAUCCAGAAAUUCAAUGCAUCUUUUCAAGUCUGGUCUGGAAUCACAAAACUGCCUGAAGAGAAGUCUUCCUAUCGGCUGUUUGUCACAAAGCUGGUUAUAAUCUUUUUCAAUUGAGCAUCUAAUACCUUCACACUGACUAACAGGCGGCAACUUCAGCAUCUCCCUCCAUUUUUUACUACGUCCACUCCGUUUGCCCUCUCGGGCUUUCAGCAGCACCGUGUUGGCCACGAUGUUCUCGAUUUCCAUGGUCGGGGGCUCCUUCCCCUCAGGGCAGCCGGAGUGGAGGCCGCCCCUGCUGCCUCCUUCGCCCCCUCCUCCAGCCCCGCCACCGCCGCGACGCCAAGCCGCCGCUCAUCCGGCCCCGCGGGACCUCAGCGCCGCGCUCGCCUCUUCCCCAUCACCCGCUGCUCGCUCCGGCACCGGCCUCCCCCCUCCC